rnacentral:siRNA from 1 species
AGCCCACCAGAAAUCAGAACGCA